rnacentral:rRNA from 1 species
CAGAGUGAACGCUGGCGGUAGGCCUAACACAUGCAAGUCGAACGGCAGCACAGGAGAGCUUGCUCUCUGGGUGGCGAGUGGCGGACGGGUGAGGAAUACAUCGGAAUCUACUCUGUCGUGGGGGAUAACGUAGGGAAACUUACGCUAAUACCGCAUACGACCUACGGGUGAAAGCAGGGGAUCUUCGGACCUUGCGCGAUUGAAUGAGCCGAUGUCGGAUUAGCUAGUUGGCGGGGUAAAGGCCCACCAAGGCGACGAUCCGUAGCUGGUCUGAGAGGAUGAUCAGCCACACUGGAACUGAGACACGGUCCAGACUCCUACGGGAGGCAGCAGUGGGGAAUAUUGGACAAUGGGCGCAAGCCUGAUCCAGCCAUACCGCGUGGGUGAAGAAGGCCUUCGGGUUGUAAAGCCCUUUUGUUGGGAAAGAAAUCCAGCUGGCUAAUACCUGGUUGGGAUGACGGUACCCAAAGAAUAAGCACCGGCUAACUUCGUGCCAGCAGCCGCGGUAAUACGAAGGGUGCAAGCGUUACUCGGAAUUACUGGGCGUAAAGCGUGCGUAGGUGGUCGUUUAAGUCCGUUGUGAAAGCCCUGGGCUCAACCUGGGAACUGCAGUGGAUACUGGGCGACUAGAGUGUGGUAGAGGGUAGCGGAAUUCCUGGUGUAGCAGUGAAAUGCGUAGAGAUCAGGAGGAACAUCCAUGGCGAAGGCAGCUACCUGGACCAAC